UGAGAACCACUUAAGCAUUGAAUGCGGAGAAAGCAGUGCUACCUCAGUUUUGCUGGAAGUAGACUUCUUUGAUAGUUUUCUUUCUUUGAUGAAGUUUCUGUAUUUUCAUGUUGUAAGUGGAAAUACUUUUUUUUGUUUGUUUGUUUCAUUUGCCUUGGAGCCAAAGUUUCUGUUCCUGGUGGUCGGGAAACUGCCUGCCGGCCAACUGACUUGAAGGAAAACUGUGGUAUGGAGCUCUGCUUGAAUUUUUUUUUUUUUAAUAUUUUUAUUUUUUUCUUUGAAUAUCAUCAGCUUACUUGUCUGGCAAGGGCAGAAGCCUGGGGUUGGCCUGAACUCUGCCAAACAAAUAUCAAAGUGUAUUUAAUAGUUAAAUUUGUGCCCUUUCCCUUCUUGCUGCACCCAUGUUGUCACUUAACCCCCAG
rnacentral:lncRNA from 1 species